CAGGAAUUAGUUUAUAAUAAAAUAUUGGUUUUGGAGACCAAGUAAAGGAUAUUUCCUAUUCCU
rnacentral:tRNA from 1 species